rnacentral:rRNA from 1 species
UGAGGAAUAUUGCGCAAUGGCCGAAAGGCUGACGCAGCGACGCCGCGUGCAGGAUGAAGGCCUUCGGGUUGUAAACUGCUUUUUGUACGGAACGAAAAGACUCUGGUUAAUACCUGGGGUCCAUGACGGUACCGUAAGAAUAAGCACCGGCUAACUACGUGCCAGCAGCCGCGGUAAUACGUAGGGUGCGAGCGUUAAUCGGAAUUACUGGGCGUAAAGCGUGCGCAGGCGGUUAUAUAAGACAGAUGUGAAAUCCCCGGGCUCAACCUGGGAACUGCAUUUGUGACUGUAUAGCUAGAGUACGGUAGAGGGGGAUGGAAUUCCGCGUGUAGCAGUGAAAUGCGUAGAUAUGCGGAGGAACACCGAUGGCGAAGGCAAUCCCCUGGACCUGUACUGACGCUCAUGCACGAAAGCGUGGGGAGCAAACAGGAUUAGAUACCCCGGUAGUCCCUGAGCGGGCUGGCAAGGCGCAU